GGAAUAUUGGGCAAUGGGCGCAAGCCUGACCCAGCGACGCCGCGUGGGGGAAGAAGUCUUUCGGGACGUAAACCCAGGUUGUACGGGACGAAGGAAGUGACGGUACCGUACGAGGAAGCCCCGGCAAACUACGUGCCAGCAGCCGCGGUAAUACGUAGGGGGCAAGCGUUGUCCGGAUUUACUGGGUGUAAAGGGCGCGCAGGCGGGAUAAAAAGUCAGUGGUGAAAUCCUACAGCUUAACUGUAGAACUGCCUUUGAUACUGUUAUUCUUGAGUUCGGGAGAGAGAGGCGGAAGUCCAGGUGUAGUGGUGAAAUACGUAGAUAUCUGGAAGAACACCAGUUGCGAAGGCGGUCUCUGGGUCCGACACUGACGCUGAGGCGCGAAAGCGUGGGGAG
rnacentral:rRNA from 1 species